rnacentral:rRNA from 1 species
AUUAGCUUUUUAAUUGAAGGCUAGAAUGAACGGUUGGACAAGAAAUAAUCUGUCUUAAUUUAAUGUAUUGAAUUUAACUUUUAAGUGAAAAGGCUUAAAUGAUUUGAGGGGACGAUAAGACCCUAUAAAACUUUAUAUUUAUGAAUAGUAGUUAGUAUUAAAUAAGUUUAUUAUUUCAAAAUAUUUGGUUGGGGUGACGAGGAUAAAAUGAGAAAUAACUGUCUUUUUUUUAUUACAGUGUUAUUUGGUUUAAUGAUCCUAAAAUGGAUUCAAGAUUAAGUUACUUUAGGGAUAACAGCGUAAUUUUCUUUAAGAGUUCUUAUCGACAGGAAAGUUUGCGACCUCGAUGUUGAAUUAAAAGUUCUUUAUAGAGUAGAGACUAUAAAAGAAGGUCUGUUCGACCUUUAAAUUUUUACAUGAUUUGAGUUCAGACCGGUGUGAG